UCAUUCUUUGCUGCAGAUAUGGUUAAAGCCCUGUAAGAAAGCAGAUGUUCCACAACCACGCAGUUACCUGGCUCCAGUGUACAAGACCAGUGAGCGAAGAGGAAUCCUGUCAACCACUGGCCAUUCCACCGACUUUGUCACUGCGAGGACCCUUCCUUCCAACAAACCGCAGGAACACUGAAUCAAACGUUAUUUUGUCAGCUUAUUUCACAAACCUACUGCAAUUACUGAGGGUUCCUUUACUAGAUCACCUGUGAGGAACACGUGUCAGUCCUGAAUGGCUGCAAUAUCAAAAGGUCUGAGAAUAGCGAGGUUCAUCAUGCACGCCACAUGUAAUUCAGGAAGAAUUUCACAGACGUCUUUAGAAAGCUCUGAAAGCUGGGCCUGUUACUCAACUGCAAGGAAAACAUCAAACAGUACUGACAAAAGUGCUAAGUAAACGCAGAUGUGGAAGACUUAAAAAUAAAUCUUCCAAAACGCCUUACAGGACCACUAGGCAAGACUAAGAGAUCGCUACUGUCGCUGAUAUCAAGAAAGUAAUCUCGGUGGAAACAGACAAUAGAGCAGAGAUUAUCAGAGCUGAUGACCUUUUAAUGCCUGCAGUGAUUUAACAGUGCCGCUAGCCUUUGGAGACAGGGAGAUCUGUCCUGUGAUCGCUUAUAAAAUACUACCCAAGUUACUCAAGGUAUCCUAUGUGUGAGCAGUGAGCGUGAGGACCUCGGGAAGGUUGGGGAACCCAACACCUGCAACACAGUGCUGCUGGUUCAGGGAAAUUCGGCCCCGUGGGACUGCUGCUCCCCCCUCUUCGUCCCUUCCUCAAGCUGGUGUGUGCCAUUUGCAGGCAGGUUUCCUUUGGCCUCUGCCCUCCUGCUGUUUUUCCCUCUCAACGUGAGUAUGAGUGUGCUGCGGUCUCAUGGAGCUGGAAGGUGAGUCUGGGCAGAGGAGGUGGCUGGGGACCCCACAGAGGCCGUUCUUCUUCCCGGGCAACCACAGUGACCUCUGCUGUCACCAAGCAAGUCUGAGCACUUGUGCUCUGCUGCAGAGGAGAGGUUUUAUUCCAGCUUACCCUGGAGGUCCUCUAUAAUGUACUGGGCGCUGUACCUUGCAGAAAUUCUCAUUUGUGGUCAUGUCCCGUAUGCUGCUGGUAUUGAAAAAUGCAGCUCCUGGUAUUUGAAGAAAAGCCUCCAGCUGUGCUGGAAUGUGGCAGUGUCCUCAGAGGCCCCUCCGUUAGCCCUUAGCAGCAGCCCCAGCCUCCUGCCACAAAUGAGGCAGGGGAGGAAAUGAGUUUGCAAUGAUGUGUUUUUCAGACGUGGUGAAGCCUGUGCUGGUGGCAGCCGCAAGAAGAGCUGUCUGGUGGUUUCCAGGGCUGUCUGCACUCAGAGAAAGCUGUAGAGUAUUUCUAAUGUGACGGGAAACAUCCUCCGUUGUUUCUCCUCUAUAUUUGACUGAAAAGAAGCUGCCCGCCUGCGCAGUGGUACCCACCUCUGCUUUCUGGGCCCUGUGCAAUUUGGAGAGUGACAACUUACCUUAACUAUUGCAGCAUUGACCACUUCACCAAGUUCUCCCGGGCAUUGCGGUCCCUGCUUCCUGCCACGGCUCCUGAUUCCUGCAUGGAAACCAUCAGCAAUACCAAGCGGAUGGAGAGGGCGGCCUUUCAUAGAAUCGUAGCCUUCAGGACUCUGGGGUGCCACAACUCUUGUUUGAAACAAACCACCACUGUGGCAUUCGGUGCAGCUAAUGACAGGGAAGCUCAAACCUGGCAACUGCUACCUUAAAAAAGUAAUAGAAAAAGGAAACAAAACUCCUGGGAAAGCUGUGCAUACAUAGCAAACGAGGAGCAAUGGGCAUGCAAACAACACGGUAAACUGCUUCAUAGGGCACCUGAUUAAGUGAUAUAAAGAAAGCAUCCAGCCCGUGUGUUUCCCAGCUCCUGCAGUGCUGCAUGGACCGUGAGUAUGCACAGGAAGGUGUCUGAACACCUUCAUGUGCCAGCGAGGCUUGGCACGUGAUGCCUUCAGCCGUGGUUCAGCUGCUGGGGAAGGAGUGGCAGUGCUGUGCUCCCCAGCUCGGUGUGAACCUGAAGGAGAGAGGCAGAGAAACGGAGGAGGCAGGUGCUAUACGGCAUGUGGUGAAAGAGAUCGGCUGGCUUGUCGUGCAGCUCAGCCCUCCUGCCCUCCCCAGUCCUGCUCCCUGUCUUGCCAGGAGUGCACUUGGGUAGAAAGUCCUCUUGCUACCUGCUUGUGCUCUCGGCACCUCUGCUGCCACUCUGGUGGCCUCUAGCAACUGCCCCUGUGUUGUACACAACAGGAACAUCGGGGUGAGUAUGCACAACUGUUUGGCACCACGGAGUGUUGGCUGUCCCCUGAAGUGAGGGGCCGUUCAGGUUAAUCUCUCACACCCCCGUCGUGUCGUGAUGCCCAUCUCAUGUGUUCUCCAUCUGCCUGUGUUUCUGCGUGGUUGCUGAGUAAGGAGCAAAGGCUUGAGAUGUUGGGUGGCUUGGCCUUCUUUCUGGGAAGCCUUCAUACUCAGUUUUGCUGAAGGAAGGAGCAGACUGAGAGAACCGUCGAUCCCCUCUUAGGGGCAAGAGGGAAGGAGCGGGGACGCGGUCACAGUGACUCCGCUGUCCCCAGUACCUGCCUGGGAUGUCUGUGCAGGAGCUAAAACAACUCUAUACCCCGCUCCAAUCACGUCACUGAAUUUUCAAAGGGCUCAAUAAAAUGUUUUGGUUGACUUAAUCCAAAAUGCUCCUGGCAUUUUCGCUGGCCAACAUCUAGUUACUGUGUCACGAGAGUGACUGGGGAAGAUGUGCUUCCAGCGCAGCUUUUUUUGUACCAAAUUGCCAGCAUGGAGGGCUCGGACCACAGAUCCACCUUUCAGGUAAGGCCUCACCCACAGCCACUCACAGCACUGUUCCCAGCCAGUUCCUGCCCUGGUAC